rnacentral:misc_RNA from 1 species
GAUGAAGAACGCAGCGAAAUGCGAUAAGUAAUGUGAAUUGCAGAAUUCAGUGAAUCAUCGAAUCUUUGAACGCAUCUUGCGCUCCUUGGCAUUCCGAGGAGCACGCCUGUUUGAGUGUCAUUAAAUUCCUCAAAUCCUCCAAUCUUGCCCACCCAGGGCUGGAGUGGUUGGUUUGGAUCGUUGGAGGCUUCUGCAUGCAGGCUCGCUUCGAAGGGCCUGCUCCUCUGAAAUGCAUUAGCAAUGGCCGUGGUGUUGUUGUGCACCCGUCGUCGUCGUUGGCAUGGUAAAAAUACUUGUUAUUUUGUGCCACUUGACACAGACAACCACCUCCCAUGCUUCUAAUCUGGCCACCCGUUUUCUCGGUGCCCUUGAUGACCAUUUUGACCUCAAAUCAGGUGGGACUACCCGCUGAACUUAAGCAUAUCCAAUAAGCGGAGGA